rnacentral:rRNA from 1 species
AUGCCUAAUACAUGCAAGUCGAACGCGUGGAGCAAUCCACGAGUGGCGGACGGGUGAGUAACGCGUGGGAACCUGCCCUUGAGUGCGGGAUAACCGAGGGAAACUUCGGCUAAUACCGCAUGCGCCCCCUCACGGGGGGAAAGAUUUAUCGCUCGAGGAGGGGCCCGCGUCGGAUUAGCUAGUUGGUGGGGUAACGGCCUACCAAGGCGAUGAUCCGUAGCUGGUCUGAGAGGAUGAUCAGCCACACUGGGACUGAGACACGGCCCAG